rnacentral:rRNA from 1 species
CUGACCUCAGAUCAGGC